UAACGACUCUCGGCAACGGAUAUCUCGGCUCUCGCAUCGAUGAAGAACGUAGCGAAAUGCGAUACUUGGUGUGAAUUGCAGAAUCCCGUGAACCAUCGAGUCUUUGAACGCAAGUUGCGCCCGAAGCCUUCCGGCCGAGGCACGUCUGCCUGGGCGUCACG
rnacentral:rRNA from 2 species